AUAUGUGUGGCGAUUUGCCAAGCUGGUGAAGAUUGCCGAUGAUCGGCAACUUAGGAGGGCUCGGUGGGAGGUUGCUCUUUCUUUUCCUAGGCUUGUUCUUUAAGAGAACUGCAAUUACAGCCGCUAUUACCAAUGUUAGGAGAAACAGAUGCUGAAGGAGAGCCAUUGCCAUUUCACGAGAAACUUGCAUGUUUUGUGAUGUUGCAACAGUGGUCUUGUUUGAUCUGUAUACAAUGUCUCUUCUUAUACAAGGGACUUGUAGAAACCAUCUCAGUUUGCUGAGAAAUCUUUCGGUUUAGUCAAUAAAAGUCAAGUUAGCAGAUGUUACCCUUUCUUUUGGUACUUACCGUGAUAGGUUUGUCAUGGUUCAAGACAUCAGCCCUAGUUGCAAGUUGGCGUUUGUUCCUUCGUCUUAUCCCCUUAGCAUUGCCUCGGGAUAAUCAUCUUGGGUGGGGUUAUGAUAGUAUUCUACCCGGAUAGGGGUAAAAAUAGCAGGAAAUACGAAUGCUGUUGUGACACAAGUUGCCAAACUAUCUAGUGAUCGCUCAGUUACUGGUCUCAGAAUAGUUUGGACUGUUGUGCGGACAACUGGUUUUGUGGUCCUCCUUUUCUAGAUCGAUACGUAGUCGACAGACAGGCCAAUUGUCGGAAGCUCCAUGCCUUUGGAAAAAUCUCAUCGGUCGUGGAAUUGUCGUAGAUUAGAAAGUUCCCUUUCGAUAGAGAUCUGCCGAGAAAUUAGGUCCUUUAAAGACUUUUAUUGAUGUGUGUUAAAAAAAUUUUAUGUGCGCGUGCGGAAGUAUGGUUUUGGUAUUGAUGAUAGUUUUUGAUUAGUGAUUGUCGCGACCUAUUUUUUUUCCGGGGGUGAACCACCUAAGAGUUGGCUAAUGGACUGUUAAACCUAGACUUAACUCGGGCUCUCCCAAGCCCAUAUCAAUUCGUGACUUAAGUUCAAAUUUUUUGUAACAUGCAAAUAGAUUUUAUCUAGAAGUCGCCACUAAUCUAUUUUUGGUGGGUCGAUUAGAAACCCAAGUAAAGUAACGGGAGUUUUACUUUACUCCUACGAACCAGAGAUUAUGGAUACAGGGACUUGGUUACACUAGAUUUCUCUAAUGCCAUUUCGGUACCAUUAUUUUCUUUUCAAAAAUGUUUGGCAAGCAGUUUGAAUUGAUUUUAAAUCAUUUUCCCUAACAUGUGAGGUGAUCAUGCGGGUGCGCAAUCCACACCCAAAUAAACGAUAAAUAAAUUGCAAAAAACUUAUCUCAAAGCAACGAAAGCAUCUGCAAUGUUAAAUUAAAAUCCACAUCAACAACCUAGAUAUGGUUUCUAAUUAACACGCAAUUUCCUUUUUUGUUUUCUCUUAAUUAAUGAAAUCAUGCAAUAUGCAAUGCAAUAUUAACUAAAUAACCUAAUCCUAAUGACAUGUAAUUUCUAAUUAAAUGGGCUUAGCAAAAAUACUAAAUGACAUGCAUCUCAAUGAAUCUAACCCUAAUGAUGUGCAUAUGACAUUUUUUUUCCUAAAAGAAUGCAUUUUAUCCUAAAUAAUAAAACUAAUUUAACCUAUGACAUUUUUGUAUUUUUCAUGAAAUUCGAAAUUUGGUGAAAUGUGAAAAUUACCUAACUAGAUUAAGAUCCUAUUUAAUUUAUAUUAGGAAUUAGGUUAAGCCAAAUCCUAAUUUAAACUAAAACAUUAUCUUAUCCUAAAUAAUCCUAAAAUGCAAUAUAUCUAAAAAAUACCUAAACUUAUAAUAAAUUAAGAAAAGAUAUUAUCUAAAAUUAAACUAAGUGCAAUUUAACCCUAAUAUGCAAUGACGUACUAAAUAUGCCCUAAUUCUAAAUGACACAUGCAUGAUGGUUUUUGUUGUUUUUUUUAAUUAAUUUUCGAAAUUAAUAAUUACCAAAUAAUUAAACAUGCAAUCCAAAUUAAAAUUUUGCAACCUAAAUUGAUUAAUUUGAAUUUUGAUUUUUUUAUUUUCGAAAAUUCGUGAUAAAUAGAAUGCUUAGCCUAAAUAUGCAAAUAACCCUAAAACAUGCAAUAUUCUAACUCAAACAUAUUUCAGGAUAAAUAAAGCAAUCAAGACGAGACAAGCACCAAGCCAUUCGGAAUCAUCAAAGAUACCAUAUAUCGUUCAGAUCAAGGAAUAAUAUCUAAAUCGGACUUGAUUUUCUUGCUAAUAAAAUCGAUAAAUUGAUCUUAAGCCUUAAAGAUCAAAAUAUCAAUUUUAUUCCCGCUUAAUUAAUUAUUCCAUCUAAAGCCUUAUAGAUGGAAUAAAAAAUCAAAGUGUGGUUGCGAAUUAGGCAAAUAACCCUAUUCGGAAAUGCGCUUAUCAUUUAAAUAUGCACGUAAGAUAUUGUAAAGCAUGUUUUAGGCAAUAAAAUAUUUAAAUCAAAUUUAGAUAUGAUAAUUACCUAAUUCCUCAAAUAAUAUUGCCAAAUUUGAAUUGAAUGGAAUCGCUCAACGAGUAACCAGCGGUGUGUGGUGGUGCUCGCAUGGCUUCUCAGCACGGUUUAGGGCUUGAAGGUGACAGCUUUUGAUGGACCGCUUGGACUACCGGAUUUGUCCAGAUCUUCUGCUUCAGUUUCACUUGGGCCAAAGAAUCAAAUUUGCUCCCUUUGGUCUCCACGUCGAUUCCCAGACUUUGACUUGCUAAAGCCCAUGAUCACAUUAUUCAUUUGCGUUCUCAAUUGAAGGAGCAGCAGCAGCACGUCAGGAAUGAUAGUGGCAUUUUAGGAUGCAACGGCUAGAUGUUGCUGGAAAACCUGCAAACAGAGACUAUGAGCGCUAGUUCGCUGGUGCCAGUGUUUGGACCCGACGCGGGCUGGUCACGGUGAACACCGGGAGAUCUUGAUUGUGAUGGUUCGCUGGACGAGCACCAAAAAACCUGCAAAAACAGAGAAUACCGAAGGAAGAACAGAGCAGGAGUCGUCGCGCGGUUGGUCCAAGUCACGGCAGGCCGUGAGGGGGCCUCGUGGGAGACUAAAACAACAGCAGAUGAGCGAGCAGGGGCGCGGGACUCGGGCGUCAGCAACAGGUGGCGAGGGGUCGAGUGGAUCGCAGCGGAGCGCUGUGCAGGGGGUCAGCCACAGCAGCGGAACGGAACAGGCAGUGGCGAAGGCGGUCUGUGGCGCUUGCGGGAUCUGCACCUGUUGUCGUCUGGGGCCGCGGCGUCGAGCACGGCGAGAACAGGGAGGUCGGCGAGCGGAGCUGGACGCGGGCUGCAGGCGUUCGGGCUCGCGGGUCGCUGGCGCUACGUCCAGUUCGGAACCUGCAGGCGUCGCCUGGUUGCUGGGUCGAAGGGCGGCAGCUGCCGGUGUAGGGGCAACAGCGGCGAGGCAGGGCGCGGCGGUGGCUGGCGUUGCAGUGUCGGCACAGUGGCCUGCGCGGGCACGGGCUGGCGCGGUCAGGGGCUUCCUCGUGAAGAAGACGACACUAUAGCCCCCCCUUUUUUUUUCUCACCUAUCACAUGUCCUCUCUCUGCCCCCCUCUCUGUAGACUUUUCUGACUUUACGAUUGUCUCUUGCUUCUUAUUUAUAUGUGUCAAUCCUGUUUGCAAAAAGGCAAGAGAUAUCUUGGGCUGGCGUGAAUGAAAUCCACCGAUGAAUAUUAUGCUCAGCCCUUAUUAGUACGUGAAUCUCCCACUUCCCUUUGAGUCAUUGCUGAAUAUUUCCCUCGAAUAAUGGGAAAAUCCCAUUGAAUUUGCUUUUUCUUUCUCAACCGCCAUACACACAUGCACCAAUCUCCUUUCUUGAUUUUGCUUUACCUUGUUGGUCGAAUUUUCCUUUUAUGCUCUUGAACGAACAUUGACACAAUAUUUCUUUUGGUCUUGUUCCAAUUGUGAUUUUUCCCCAAAAUAUUUGACGAAGAUAUUCAUUUCUUGUUUGAAAUAAAGAAAUAUCACAUCGAAGAAUAGAAUACCUUCGUAUCGAUUAAGCUUAAAACCAUUCGUUCGAGUCCGUUCACCCUUGUCGAUCCAAUGCGAAUGCCAUAAAAAAUAAAAUAAAAUGAAUGCACCUAAAAUUAUAUGCUAUGCAAUUAAUAUUAGUUUUUUUCUUUUUUAGGGCUUAAAAAUUAAUCCCUGAUUUUUAAUGUGAUAAAUGAAUAAACGGAUCACCAAAAUUUAGGUGUCAACAGCUGCCUCUCUUUGAAGGUGAGCUCGCAGGGGUUGCCUUCAAAGAUAAAUUGAGACCUAAAUUUUGACUAUGCACAUGCAUUGAACGAUAAAUUCAUUUUUUAAUGCAAUUUAUAUGAUGCAUGGAAACACAAAUGAUAAAAUGAACCUACCUGGAAUAACUUACCUUCAAGGAGGAUAGAGUAAUUCGAGAUAGUUGGUGUUACAUGUCCAGGACCCGUACCAUUUUAUGGUCGCCCAAAAUAGUAACAUAGCUUUGCAAAAAGAUUGAUUUCCCAGGAUCUGUACCAUUCUACGGUCGCCUAGUAUGGCAAUGCUUGGUUGUGUCUAGGACCCGUAUCAUUCUAUGGUCGCCUUGACGGGGAUUCAUAUUCCAAGACCCGUACCAUUCUACGGUCGCCUAAACAGAGAUUCACUUUUCAGGACCCGUAUCAUUCUACGGUCGCCUGAAUAAGGAAUGGGUGUUGUCAAGGACCCGUACCAUUCUACGGUCGCCUUGACGGAAAAUUGAUUUUUCAGGACUAGUACCGUUCUACGGUCGCCUGAAUGGGGACAUUGUUUUUCCAGGACCCGUACCAUUCUAUGGUCACCUGUUGGAGAAAAAUAGUGUUGUUUAGGACCUGUACCAUUAUACGGUCGCCUAAACGGAGAUUCUGCUCGGCUAGGACCCGAACCAUUCUUCAGUUGCCCAGCGCUGUAACAUAGAUCAUUUGACCAGGACCCGAACUGUUCUUCGGUCACCUUAAUCAGAUUGAAUCUGGAGGAAAAUCUUUGGGGGACAACUCAAUCGAGUGUCGAUUAAAAGGGACUCUGGGCUACGAAAGCACGCCAGGUCGAUAUAAAGGACACCGGGCUAGAAAAGCACGCCGGGUCAAUGAAAGUGACUCUGGGCUACGAAAGCACGCCAGGUCGAUAUAACUGGACAACUUAACCAAGUCAAGUGUCGAUGCACUUGAGAGAGAAUACCUGCACAAUGACAAGUAUUUUAGAGUAUGGUAGAGAUAUACUUACCUGAUGAUGUCUCUGAUUCUUGGGGAUAUGUCUUUUGGAAUUUAGAUAUUCUGUGGAGGUCUUUCACCUCAUGGUGGAGGUUUCUCAUCUCCUAAUAUCAUGAAACAUUCUGAAAGGAACUUGAAUGUCAGGAGCUCUUGGGUCUUUAAGAAAACAUUAUAUGUCAUACAUGAUUAGAGCAAAAGUGCAUUCACCAAAGAAAUAAGCAAUUAAUGCUAUUCUGGAACGCACACUUCAAAAAUCCACUGAAGUUUUUAUCAAUUCAAUCGGGGUUCAUGCAUAAUGACCUUUGCAUCACCCAAAUUUCCACUAGAGAGAAUUAUCGUUCAAGACAAUUUUCAUUCAUGACAUGGAUUUAUUAAGAAUACAAAAUGAGAGACUUUCAGUUAGAAAGGACUUUCACUCUCUCUCAUUCAGAAUGGCUAUUUUGUAAGAAUCACUCAAUCUCAACAUCAUCAUAUCGACAAGGGUUCGAGAAUUCUCGCAAUUAUUACGACCUUACCAAUUCAAGAGGUCUUUAAUAAGGACCAUAAUGUGGGCUCGGUCAACAGCAUAACAAAGGGACUCUUUGAGUCAAGGCUAUUGAAAGAAGAACUACGCAAUCAUCUUCGGGUUUAUAAAUCAAGAACCCUGCAAAAUAAAAAAGAAAUAGUCUUGCUCGCACUUCUUCGAGCGAUGCUUAUAAACAUAUGAAUUGCCAUGUUAAUUCAAGUGCCAUAAUCUGAAGAGACUUUGUGAGGGAUGUAACGUAGGCUGGGUUUAUGGGUUGAGAAAUGAAAUAAUCAUUAGGCUCAAAAUGUGUGUAAAUGGUGAAAGUUGAUGAUCAUCUUGGUAUUGCCACUGAUUUUCUUUUUCACCAUCAGGGAUUGUCUUCAUGAAGUGCCCCAUUGAUCAUAAAAACUCAGCAUUUGAGUUCUUUGAAUAUUGCUCCAUUGGGAUUCAAUUCUUGCAAUUGACAGUCACCUAUCUUGACUUUCUUUUUUCAUCUAUGGGCAUUGGCCUUGCUUUUACCAGGCACACCGCUUUUUCAAGCUCCUAGUUCUUACUUCUUUUUCAUGGGCAUUGGCCUUGCUUUUUACCAGGCACACUGCUUUUUUCAUGCCUCUUAGUUUUAUUUUGAUUUCAAUGCAUGCGUCAAGCAAUUACACUUUGAAUGAUACUCAAACUUUCAAGGGUCUCCAUCUAUCUUUUGCCUUGCCCCAGUGUGGGGGAUAAUCACCAACUGGGUUUAAAGAAAUGAAAUUGUAGGCUCAAGUGGGCUAUGCAAAUGGUAUAAGUAUGUAGGAUAGAGAAAGAAAUGCUCUUCGUCAUCUUAAGGCACUUAAGUUAACACAUGAAUUCAAUGCAAUAGCACGACUUGAAGAUUGAUGCAAGUGAGAGCAAAAAAAUUUCAAUUCAUUUUCCUCACCUCAUGAUGCCAUUUAUCUCCCCCUUGCUCCAAUGUGGGGUGAUUCUUGACAGGGGUAAUUUGAAAAGAAUAUCCAUAAGUGUAUGGGCUCAAAAGGGUUAAGCAAUGGAUCACCUGUAGUGUUUGGGAUAAAGAAAUGAACUGCCUCUCAUCAUUUCGGUUGCCAUACCUUUUGCGAGAGAACCCAUUACCUUGUGUAUAUGAACCUUCCUACACUCAUCUUACAAGUGCAUGAGUAGGGGACUGUGUAUAGGAUAAGGUUUACCUUUCAUCAUCCCGACUCGUCUCAUUUAGUAUGCUCAAUCAAUUCCACAUCAUUCAUUAAAUUAGUCCAUCUUGAUGUUCUUUAGUGGAAUUGGUGACUAAAAGUCAUCAUGCAAAAUCCUUUAAAAAGAAAAAGAAAAAGAGCUCAACAGCUUUAGGCAUGAAAAAUUAUCAACUCCAAAACAAACAGUUUUCCACACUGCAAAAUGGUUGUACGCAUUCAUUCAAUGAUUCAUUUACAAUGAGAUUACCUCGGCAGUUGAUGUCUUUAGAUUGUCCCUAUCCGCUUUUGCCCCAAAAUCUGUCAUGCCUCCAAUCUGUCACAUUAACUCUUUAGAAUUGUGUCUUUGACAAUUGGACCAAUUGCAACUUGGUGUGCCUUUUUCAGAUGCCUUCUCACAAGGCAGAAAAAGUAAUGCUCAAUCUCUAAAAAGCAAUAAGAAUUCCCACGCAGGGGAAGGUGCAACUGAACAUGCCUCUAAUUAAAUAAGGAAAGCGAACUACUUAGGAUCAUGAAUCAUGUGUGCUUGAGUUCUUCACCCUCCUUGAUCUUGUGAUGCAAAUCCUCUAGGUCAGAGAUUAUUCCUUCUAGAUAUGUCACUAGUCUCUUCAUAGUGGCAUCAAAUUCAGCUACCUCAGGAAGAUAGGACGGUUCGAAAGUCCUCUUAGCUCUCUUCUUCGAGUCAUAGUUUCUCACUGAAGAUAGAAUACCUAUGUCAUCACAGUCCUUUUGCUUGAUGAGACAAGCCACAGUAGCAGACAAUUCAUCGACUUGACUUUGGAGGUAUGCAAUUCGUUUGUUUAUAUUGACAAUGGUACGGUCCAGCACCUCAUUUUGAUCCGCCAUUUUAGCUCUCGGCCGUGUACGGAUGGGUGAGCGAGAUCGCUCCAUAAUCACCUAAAGGAAAUAAAUGGGAACAUGUAAGCAUGAGGUGUAAAUGGAGAGUCAAUCCAUGACAAUGAUCUAAUCGAUUUUUUUUAUUUUUUUAUUUUUAUUUUUUUUCAUUUAUUCAUGAAAAGUCUAUGCAAGAAGGGAAUUUCCUAAAAAAUGGAUAUUCUAGUAAAAUCAAAUUUUCUAGACAUGAUGUAAAAACAAAUUCUCCAAAGUUUUUUUUUUUUUCAAAUGCAUCAUUCCCUAGCAAUUUCUCAUUUCAUUUCCAAUUGACAAAUGAAUCAAAUCAAUGAUUGACUUAGAUUGUCAUGGACCGACCCAAGAGUACAACAAAAUAAAUUGCAUGGUAUAGGGAUAGAAGACUUACUUCACCAAAGAAAAUCAAUGGCAAUCUCAUAGACAAGCGCAUGAAGUAUAAGGCUCGAUUUCUAUCUAGACGGCUUAGCAAAAUGGAGUUAAAAGGGUGGGGUGACUUAGUUGUAGCCUCGCAUACUAAGUCAAGUCCUCCUAACUCCGGCUCAGUCAAGAAUGAUACCCCGAUGCGACGCAGCCUCGCGGGCAGAGGUAAACAUUCUUGACACCAAGAAAAACUUUCAGGAUUGAGUUGGGCAACCUCUACUACGCGGCCUCGCGGUCGAAGUCGUAUCCAACUCGAUACCAUCCUAAAUAUCCUAGUGCAGCCCAGGUCCGGCGGCAGGUUGUGUGUGCAAAAGUGUAGUGCUAAAUGUAGGGCAUGCACAACAAUUUAAAUCAAACAACACUUCAAUAGCUUGAAUUUAAAACAUUCAUCCCUAACUCCAACCUGCAAUACAAGGGUUAGCCAAGACUACUCCCCUCAUAUCUCCCCAUAUGUAAAAACAUUUAACACCUUAAAUGUUAGGGACAUACCUGGGAUCCUUGUUGCCAAACAAAAACAUUUUUCAAAAAAUAAAAUUGGCCUAAGUCCACUAAGAGUUUCAACUCAAGUCCCCAGCGGAGUCGCCAAGCUGUUGCGACCAAUUUUUUCCGGGGGUGAACCACCUAGGAGUUGGCUAAUGGAUUGUUAAGCCUAGACUUAACUCGGGCUCUCCCAAGCCCAUACCAAUUCGCGACUUAAGUUCAAAUUUAUUUUAACAUGCAAAUAGAUUUUAUCUAGGAGUCGCCACUAAUCUAUUUUUGGUGGGUCGAUUAGAAACCCAAGUAAAGUAACGGGAGUUUUACUUUACUCCUACGAACCAGAGACUAUGGGUACCGGGACUUGGUUACACUAGAUUUCUUUAAUGCCCUUUCGGUACCAUUAUUUUAUUUUCAAAAAUGUUUGGCAAGCAGUUUGAAUUGAUUUUAAAUCAUUUUCCCUAAUAUGUGAGGUGAUCAUGCGAGUGCACAAUCCACCAAUUUAACACCCAAAUAAACGAUAAAUAAAUUGCAAAAAACUUAUCUCAAAGCAACGAAAGCAUUUGCAAUGUUAAAUUAAAAUCCACAUCAACAACCCUAGAUAUGGUUUCUAAUUAACACGCAAUUUCCUUUUUUGUUUUCUCUUAAUUAAUGAAAUCAUGCAAUAUGCAAUGCAAUAUUAACUAAAUAACCUAAUCCUAAUGACAUGUAAUUUCUAAUUAAAUGGGCUUAGCAAAAAUACUAAAUGACAUGCAUCUCAAUGAAUCUAACCUAAUGAUGUGCAUAUGACAUUUUGUUUCUUAAAAGAAUGCAUUUUAUCAUAAAUAAUAAAACUAAUUUAACCUAUGACAUUUUUGUAUUUUUCAUGAAAUUCGAAAUUUGGUGAAAUGUGAAAAUUACCUAACUAAAUUAAGAUCCUAUUUAAUUUAUAUUAGGAAUUAGGUUGAGCCAAAUCCUAAUUUAAACUAAAACAUUAUCUUAACCUAAAUAAUCCUAAAAUGCAAUAUAUCUAAAAAAUACCUAAACUUAUAAUAAAUUAAGAAAAGAUAUUAUCUAAAAUUAAACUAAGUGCAAUUUAACCCUAAUAUGCAAUGACGUACUAAAUAUGCCCUAAUUCUACAUGACACAUGCAUGCUGGUUUUUGUUGUUUUUUUUUUAAUUAAUUUUCGAAAUUAAUAAUUGCCAAAUAAUUAAACAUGCAAUCCAAAUUAAAAUUUUGCAACCUAAAUUGAUAAAUUAGAAUUUUGAUUUUUUUAUUUUCGAAAAUUCGUGAUAAAUAGAAUGCUUAGCCUAAAUAUGCAAAUAACCCUAAAACAUCCAAUAUUCUAACUCAGACAUAUUUCAGGAUAAAUAAAGCAAUCAAGACGAGACAAGCACCAAGCCAUUCGGAAUCAUCAAAGAUAUCAUAUAUCGUUCAGAUCAAGGAAUAAUAUCUAAAUCAGACUUGAUUUUCUCGCUAAUAAAAUCGAUAAAUUGAUCUUAAGCCUUAAAGAUCAAAAUAUCAAUUUUAUUCCCGCUUAAUUAAUUAUUCCAUCUAAAGCCUUAUAGAUGGAAUAAAAAAUCAAAGUGCGGUUGCGAAUUAGGCAAAUAACCCUAUUCAAGAAUGCACUUAUCAUUUAAAUAUGCACGUAAGUUAUUGUAAAGCAUGUUUUAGGCAAUAAAAUAUCUAAAUCAAAUUUAGAUAUGAUAAUUACCUAAUUCCUCAAAUAAUAUUGCCAAAUUUGAAUUGAAUGGAAUCGCUCAACGGGUAACCAGCGGUGUGUGGUGGUGCUCGCGUGGCUUCUCAGCACGGUUUAGGGCUUGAAGGUGACAGCUUUUGAUGGACCGCUUGGACUACCGGAUUUGUCCAGAUCUUCUGCUUCAGUUUCACUUGGGCCAAAGAAUCAAAUUUGCUCCCUUUGGUCUCCACGUCGAUUCCCAGACUUUGACUUGCUAAAGCCCAUGAUCACAUUAUUCAUUUGCGUUCUCAAUUGAAGGAGCAGCAGCAGCACGUCAGGAAUGAUAGUGGCAUUUUAGGAUGCAACGGCUAGAUGUUGCUGGAAAACCUGCGAACAGAGACUAUGAGCGCUAGUUUGCUGGUGCCGGUGUUUGGACCCGGGGCGGGCUGGUCACGGUGAACACCGGGAGAUCUUGAUUGUGAUGGUUCGCUAGACGAGCACCAAAAAACUUGCAAAAACAGAGAAUACCGAAGGAAGAACAGAGCAGGAGUCGUCGCGCGGUUGGUCCAAGUCACAGCAGGCCGUGAGGGGACCUCGUGGGAGACUGAAACAACAGCAGAUGAGCGAGCAGGGGCGCGGGACUCGGGCGUCAGCAGCAGGUGGCGAGGGGUCGAGUGGAUUGUAGCGGAGCGCUGUGCAGGGGGUCAGCCAUAGCAGCGGAACGGAACAGGCAGUGGCGAAGGCGGUCUGCCGCGCUUACGGGAUCUGCACCUGUUGUCGUCUGGGGCCGCGGCGUCGAGCACGGCGAGAACAGGGAGGUCGGCGAGCGGAGCUGGACGCGGGCUGCAGGCGUUCGGGCUCGCGGGUCGCUGGCGCUAC
rnacentral:lncRNA from 1 species